UUUCCGUAGGUGAACCUGCGGAAGGAUCAUUACCGAGUGAGGAUCUCUCAGGCCCCACCUCCCACCCUGUGUUUUUGUGACCUUGUUGCUUUGGCGGGCCCGCCUCGACGAGCGGCCGCCGGAAGCUCACCGCCUUCGGCCCGUUCCCGUCAAUAACCCCCUUAAAUUCUUAGUAGACCUUUAGUCUGAGUUAAUUGAUAUAAUGAAAAAAAACUUUUAACAACUGAACUCAUUGUUCUGGCAUCGGUGAAGAACGCCGCAGAACGGACAAUCACACGU
rnacentral:misc_RNA from 1 species